GCCGAUGUAGCUCAGAAGCAGAGCAGCGCUUUUGUAAAGCGAAGGUCGGGAUUGCGAAAUUCCCCAUCGGCU
rnacentral:tRNA from 1 species